GCUCAGGAUGAACGCUGGCGGCGCGCCUAACACAUGCAAGUCGAACGAGCGAGAGAGAGCUUGCUUUCUCGAGCGAGUGGCGAACGGGUGAGUAACGCGUGAGGAACCUGCCUCAAAGAGGGGGACAACAGUUGGAAGCGACUGCUAAUACCGCAUAAGCCCACGGCUCGGCAUCGAGCAGGGGGAAAAGGAGUAAUCCGCUUUGAGAUGGCCUCGCGUCCGAUUAGCUAGUUGGUGAGGUAACGGCCCACCAAGGCGACGAUCGGUAGCCGGACUGAGAGGUUGAACGGCCACAUUGGGACUGAGACACGGCCCAGACUCCUACGGGAGGCAGCAGUA
rnacentral:rRNA from 1 species